UUUACAAAAGACGCUCAAUCUUGUCUGGGGAACAAGAAUGUCGGGUAAUGAGUAGUGACUAUAAAAGCAAAUAUAAGUCUACUGCCCGUACAUUACAUUACAAUCCUUGUUCCAACCAGCAAAUUGAGUUGUCUUAUUUAUUUCAUUAAAAAGGUAAGUUAUAUAAAUGUUACUUAAAGUAAUUUAAUAAAAUAAAUUAAUUGCAAAUUAAUAGGAAAUAAUUCAAUAAAUAUAAUAAGUUUAAUUCGAGCAAUAUUUGAAAUAG
rnacentral:lncRNA from 1 species